rnacentral:tRNA from 1 species
GGAGGAGUGGCCGAGCGGUCGAAGGCGGCGGACUUGAAAUCCGUUGUGGCGUCAGUCACCGGGGGUUCGAAUCCCUCCUCCUCCG